AUUAUUUAAGAGCUAAAUGUUGUAAGUAAAUAAAAAUUAUGAAAGCAAAAAAUUAUGGCGGUAUUUUAAGCUUUUCAGAGGAAUUUGCUCUUUAAUGGAUAAAACACCUAAAUCUUACUUAAAUUUGUUAAUUCAAUUUGUAUACCACUAUAAAAACAAUUUAUAACUUUAAUUGUUUAAAUUUAUUAAAUUAAAAUAUAUUAAGUCAAGGUGCAGUAAAAAUUUAAGAAUGAAGUGAAUUACAUUACUCUUUAGAGAAAUAAAUUUAAAAUAAUAUUUAGGAUUUGAAAGUAAAAUUAAAAUAAAAUGUUAAUUUGAAUUAAGCUCUAAAAUAUGUAC
rnacentral:rRNA from 1 species